rnacentral:rRNA from 1 species
UACGGGGGGGGCAAGCGUUGUUCGGAAUUACUGGGCGUAAAGAGCUUGUAGGCGGUCUGUCGCGUCUGCUGUGAAAAUCCGGGGCUCAACCCCGGACUUGCAGUGGGUACGGGCAGACUAGAGUGUGGUAGGGGAGACUGGAAUUCCUGGUGUAGCGGUGAAAUGCGCAGAUAUCAGGAGGAACACCGAUGGCGAAGGCAGGUCUCUGGGCCACUACUGACGCUGAGAAGCGAAAGCAUGGGGAGCGAACAGG